rnacentral:tRNA from 1 species
AUUCUCUUAGUAUAACCAAAGUACAACUGACUUCCAAUCAGUUAGUCCUAGUACAAGCCUGGGAGAGAAUA